CUCAAUAAACCACAAUUUCUUAUAAGUUUGAAAAUAUAAUAUUUAAAUUUAAUGAAAAACCUGUCACGCCCCGAACCUGGGGGCGAGACCGGCACCUGGUGCCUCACCUAUCCUCGUGUACCAACUUGCGACUAAGGGACUCUGAACAUAUAAUGUCAUACUUUGGCCAUGGGCCACAUUGCAAGAUAAUUGCGAAUGCUUACUAAAUAUCAAUAUAAAGUUGGGUCGACAAGGCCGUUAUAAUUACUACAGCUGGCAAACCAACAAAAUAUACAUAAAAGGCCUACAAGCCCAACAUCCUGCACUAACUGACAAGAUACGUCUGCAAGCCUCUACUGAUGGAUAUACUGUGAUCGGAACAGGGCGUCGACCUACUCAUAGCAUAUAUUCACAAGAUGUACAUAAAGCUUUAUCCGGCAACUCCGAAGAGCAUGGAGCUUACCGAUCAAGCUCAACUCGGGCAACACCUAAUGAGGAGGUCUACCCGUCUGUGUGUCUGAACCUGCACGCAUGAAAUGCAGCACCCCCAGAAAAGGGACGUCAGUACGAAAUAAUGUACAGAGUAUGAAAGGCAAUAUACUGAAAGCUGAAACUGAACUAAUAAUAUAAUAAUUGAAAGUAACUGGGAGUCAAAGAUAAUCUCAAGAUAUACUCACCUACUGAUAAUGACUCAACUCUCUCAAUAGUAAGUAAAAUAGAUGUCCGGCCUUAUAAGGCUCGGUAUAUAUAUAACUGCUCUGCCAUAGUAGGCUCGCUCAUAGGCGCUCGGCCAUACUAGGCUCUGUAUCUCGGCCAUUAUGGGCUCGCUCAUAGGCGCUCAGCCACAGUAGGCUCGGUAUAUAACUUACCAUCUGAUCAGAGGAUGCCAAAUAAGAGCUUGCCCACCGAUUAUAGCUCGAUGGUAGGGAAAAUACUGUAAUACUGUAUAUAUAUAGACCCUCUACUCUCUUCAACGGAAGAAGAUAAUACUCAAUGGAAUAUAAGGUCCCAAUACGGGAGAAUACUGUAACUUAUGAGACAAGGAUAGUGUAUAUAAAUUCGGAAGUAUGAACUUCUCUUUAUGCAUCGUUAUCAAACACAUGUAAUAACGAGAUCAUGCCAAAAAGAAGGAAGGGCUUAACCUUAACAUACCUGGAGUAGGGAAAAAUCAAUAUGACAUUAUUGAGAAGGAUUGCACCAUACUCCCUUAGAAUUAUAAAAUCCCGUUAUUAUUACACAGUGCAAUUUCGUAUGAAUUCCUUUACUAAUCCAAGAAUUGACGUUGCUAUUGCGUAGAAUAAUUUCGGAUAAAACAAUUUGCUGAAGCAAAAUCACGUCAAUCUAUCUCACCUUGUAAAAGAUUUGUAUGAAAUCUUGUUUGAGAAUUUCCAUCCGUUCCUACAUGUAUAAGCAUCUCCAUUUGUGAUUUUGAAAGGCCUUUUAUAUAGCGUGUGGGCCCCACACUUUGUAUGACUAAGUCACAA
rnacentral:lncRNA from 1 species